AUCUCCUACGGGAGGACCAGUCAGUAGGGGGAAUAAUUGCACAAUGGGCGCAAGCCUGAUGCAGCCAUGCCGCGUGUGUGAAGAAGGCCUUCGGGUUGUAAAGCACUUUCAGUCGUGAGGAAGGUGGUAGUGUUAAUAGCACUAUCAUUUGACGUUAGCGACAGAAGAAGCACCGGCUAACUCCGUGCCAGCAGCCGCGGUAAUACGGAGGGUGCGAGCGUUAAUCGGAAUUACUGGGCGUAAAGCGCAUGCAGGUGGUUUGUUAAGUCAGAUGUGAAAGCCCGGGGCUCAACCUCGGAAUUGCAUUUGAAACUGGCAGACUAGAGUACUGUAGAGGGGGGUAGAAUUUCAGGUGUAGCGGUGAAAUGCGUAGAGAUCUGAAGGAAUACCGGUGGCGAAGGCGGCCCCCUGGACAGAUACUGACACUCAGAUGCGAAAGCGUGGGAGCAAACAGGAUUAGAUACCCUGGUAGGUGA
rnacentral:rRNA from 1 species